UCCCACCUCCCUCCGACCCAAGUAGCCACCGUCGGAUGGCAACCACCCAUGGCCCUAGUGUCUCAUCUCCGCCAGGUCGGACCACGUUGUCCGACCAAAGCCCGACCAUAAGAGCUCUCCUCUUCUUCAUCCGAUGGGCACCUAGCCGGCAUGUGGAAUUGGUUGCACCAGAAACAAACACCAUCAAAAUUUUCAUACAUGAAUCUCUACCAUC
rnacentral:lncRNA from 1 species